CGGCAACAGCUCAAAUUUGAAAUCUGGCCUCACGGUCCGAGUUGUAAUUUGUAGAGGAUGCUUCUGGCGACGUGCCUUCCGAGUUCCCUGGAACGGGACGCCAUAGAGGGUGAGAGCCCCGUCCGGUCGUGCGCCUAGCCUCUGUGAAGCUCCUUCGAC
rnacentral:rRNA from 1 species